AAUCAAAUGUUUAUGAGAGAUACGAAUGGAAGCCAGUGAGAUGCUGGCACGGUCCCGCCACUGUGAUAAAGCGUUCGAGCUUUUAAGUCAGGUCUUUUCUUAUUUUUCAUUAUUGGGCAAACUGUUUCGAGGCAAAACAGGGUGUUGCUA
rnacentral:sRNA from 2 species